rnacentral:tRNA from 1 species
GAGUCUGUAGUCUAAUUGGAAUAAAGGCACUCGUCUUCUAAACGAGACCAUGCAGGUUCGAAUCCUGCCAGACUCA